rnacentral:rRNA from 1 species
GACGAACGCUGGCGGCGUGCUUAACACAUGUAAGUCGAACGGAAAGGCCCUGCUUUUGUGGGGUGCUCGAGUGGCGAACGGGUGAGUAACACGUGAGUAACCUGCCCUUGACUUUGGGAUAACUUCAGGAAACUGGGGCUAAUACCGGAUAGGAGCUCCUGCUGCAUGGUGGGGGUUGGAAAGUUUCGGCGGUUGGGGAUGGACUCGCGGCUUAUCAGCUUGUUGGUGGGGUAGUGGCUUACCAAGGCUUUGACGGGUAGCCGGCCUGAGAGGGUGACCGGCCACAUUGGGACUGAGAUACGGCCCAGACUCCUACGGGAGGCAGCAGUGGGGAAUAUUGCACAAUGGGCGGAAGCCUGAUGCAGCAACGCCGCGUGCGGGAUGACGGCCUUCGGGCUGUAAACCGCUUUCGCCUGUGACGAAGCGUGAGUGACGGUAAUGGGUAAAGAAGCACCGGCUAACUACGUG